rnacentral:rRNA from 1 species
GGGCCCGCACAAGCGGUGGAGCAUGUGGUUUAAUUCGAUGAUACGCGAGGAACCUUACCAGGGCUUAAAUGUAGUGGGACAGGUCUAGAGAUAGACCCUUCUUCGGACUCAUUACAAGGUGCUGCAUGGUUGUCGUCAGCUCGUGCCGUGAGGUGUCAGGUUAAGUCCUAUAACGAGCGCAACCCCUAUCGUUAGUUGCCAGCGAGUAAUGUCGGGAACUCUAACGAAACUGCCAGUGCAAACUGUGAGGAAGGUGGGGAUGACGUCAAAUCAUCACGGCCCUUACGUCCUGGGCUACACACGUGCUACAAUGGCCGGUACAGAGAGCAGCCACUUCGCAAGAAGGAGCGAAUCUCGAAAGUCUAUCUCAGUUCGGAUUGGAGUCUGCAACUCGACUCUAUG